GAUGGAGCACGCCGCGUGAGUGAAGAAGGGUUUCGGCUCGUAAAACUCUGUUGUUAAAGAAGAACAUAUCUGAGAGUAACUGUUCAGGUAUUGACGGUAUUUAACCAGAAAGCCACGGCUAACUACGUGCCAGCAGCCGCGGUAAUACGUAGGUGGCAAGCGUUGUCCGGAUUUAUUGGGCGUAAAGCGAGCGCAGGCGGUUUUUUAAGUCUGAUGUGAAAGCCUUCGGCUCAACCGAAGAAGUGCAUCGGAAACUGGGAAACUUGAGUGCAGAAGAGGACAGUGGAACUCCAUGUGUAGCGGUGAAAUGCGUAGAUAUAUGGAAGAACACCAGUGGCGAAGGCGGCUGUCUGGUCUGUAACUGACGCUGAGGCUCGAAAGUAUGGGUAGCAAACAGGAUUAGAUACCCUGGUAGUCCAUACCGUAAACGAUGAAUGCUAAGUGUUGGAGGGUUUCCGCCCUUCAGUGCUGCAGCUAACGCAUUAAGCAUUCCGCCUGGGGAGUACGGCCGCAAGGCUGAAACUCAAAGGAAUUGACGGGGGCCCGCACAAGCGGUGGAGCAUGUGGUUUAAUUCGAAGCUACGCGAAGAACCUUACCAGGUCUUGACAUACUAUGCAAAUCUAAGAGAUUAGACGUUCCCUUCGGGGACAUGGAUACAGGUGGUGCAUGGUUGUCGUCAGCUCGUGUCGUGAGAUGUUGGGUUAAGUCCCGCAACGAGCGCAACCCUUAUUAUCAGUUGCCAGCAUUAAGUUGGGCACUCUGGUGAGACUGCCGGUGACAAACCGGAGGAAGGUGGGGAUGACGUCAAAUCAUCAUGCCCCUUAUGACCUGGGCUACACACGUGCUACAAUGGAUGGUACAACGAGUUGCGAACUCGCGAGAGUAAGCUAAUCUCUUAAAGCCAUUCUCAGUUCGGAUUGUAGGCUGCAACUCGCCUACAUGAAGUCGGAAUCGCUAGUAAUCGCGGAUCAGCAUGCCGCG
rnacentral:rRNA from 1 species